rnacentral:rRNA from 1 species
GACGAACGCUGGCGGCGUGCUUAACACAUGCAAGUCGAACGGAAAGGCCCUGCUUUUGUGGGGUGCUCGAGUGGCGAACGGGUGAGUAACACGUGAGUAACCUGCCCUUGACUUUGGGAUAACUUCAGGAAACUGGGGCUAAUACCGGAUAGGAGCUCCUGCUGCAUGGUGGGGGUUGGAAAGUUUCGGCGGUUGGGGAUGGACUCGCGGCUUAUCAGCUUGUUGGUGGGGUAGUGGCUUACCAAGGCUUUGACGGGUAGCCGGCCUGAGAGGGUGACCGGCCACAUUGGGACUGAGAUACGGCCCAGACUCCUACGGGAGGCAGCAGUGGGGAAUAUUGCACAAUGGGCGGAAGCCUGAUGCAGCAACGCCGCGUGCGGGAUGACGGCCUUCGGGUUGUAAACCGCUUUCGCCUGUGACGAAGCGUGAGUGACGGUAAUGGGUAAAGAAGCACCGGCUAACUACGUGCCAGCAGCCGCGGUGAUACGUAGGGUGCGAGCGUUGUCCGGAUUUAUUGGGCGUAAAGGGCUCGUAGGUGGUUGAUUGCGUCGGAAGUGUAAUCUUGGGGCUUAACCCUGAGCGUGCUUUCGAUACGGGUUGACUUGAGGAAGGUAGGGGAGAAUGGAAUUCCUGGUGGAGCGGUGGAAUGCGCAGAUAUCAGGAGGAACACCAGUGGCGAAGGCGGUUCUCUGGGCCUUUCCUGACGCUGAGGAGCGAAAGCGUGGGGAGCGAACAGGCUUAGAUACCCUGGUAGUCCACGCUGUAAACGGUGGGUACUAGGUGUGGGGUCCAUUCCACGGGUUCCGUGCCGUAGCUAACGCUUUAAGUACCCCGCCUGGGGAGUACGGCCGCAAGGCUAAAACUCAAAGGAAUUGACGGGGCCCCGCACAAGCGGCGGAGCAUGCGGAUUAAUUCGAUGCAACGCGUAGAACCUUACCUGGGUUUGACAUGGAUCGGGAGCGCUCAGAGAUGGGUGUGCCUCUUUUGGGGUCGGUUCACAGGUGGUGCAUGGCUGUCGUCAGCUCGUGUCGUGAGAUGUUGGGUUAAGUCCCGCAACGAGCGCAACCCUUGUUCACUGUUGCCAGCACGUUAUGGUGGGGACUCAGUGGAGACCGCCGGGGUCAACUCGGAGGAAGGUGGGGAUGACGUCAAGUCAUCAUGCCCCUUAUGUCCAGGGCUUCACGCAUGCUACAAUGGCUGGUACAGAGAGUGGCGAGCCUGUGAGGGUGAGCGAAUCUCGGAAAGCCGGUCUCAGUUCGGAUUGGGGUCUGCAACUCGACCUCAUGAAGUCGGAGUCGCUAGUAAUCGCAGAUCAGCAACGCUGCGGUGAAUACGUUCCCGGGGCU